ensembl:lncRNA
UGGCGGCCGCUUUCAGAGCGUUCCUUUCCUUCGGCGACCUUCAUAAGGGCUGCGACUCAGCCAGCGAAAGCGAAGCGGAGCUCCAGAGACUCGCAGCACUGGCGGCGAUAACCCCGGUGCUUCGGAGAUCUGGGCACGCCUGCUCCUGCUGAAGAUUGAUUCUGCAGGUGUCCGUGAGAUGGCCUGGCGCUGCGGGGGUGCGAGGUGGUUGGCGCUCGGGGUCGACCAGCAUCUCCCCGCGUCCUUCUAUUCGCGGGGCCUUGGAGCAAGCAGGGGAAGAGUCUUCGCACCGGGAUUCCUGUGGCUCGGCGGCCAGGCUCCUGCGUCACCGUUAGGGGCGUUCGUUUCCCAUCCUCGGUACCCAGCUCCAGGCUCUAGAGCUUGGCCAGCACGGCCGAGUCCGUGCUUGGGGGGCUCGUUGGCGGGCCGCCUGGGCCCGGUCUCCAGCCCUGGACGCGUCCUGCUCCCGCUGGACUUGAACGUUACACCCCUUACAGACACUCUCUCUCUCCUGGGCACGAGGCUCCCUGGUUCAGAUCAUCCAUGACCCAUUUCUCUACACUCAAGGAGUUAUCUGGCCACGUUGGCUCCAGCUCUAAUGGAGUGAGUUGAGCAGUGAUGGACCCAGAGGAGAGUGGAGACAACAGGGCAUGAAGGAGAAAUAUAUUUUCAUGUUUGCUUACAAGGAACUCUAGAAGGAUCUGUAAGAAACAAAAUACUACCUGUGGAGGUCAGAUGGCCCUGGAC